rnacentral:rRNA from 1 species
AACGAACGCUGGCGGCAUGCCUAACACAUGCAAGUCGAACGAGACCUUCGGGUCUAGUGGCGCACGGGUGCGUAACGCGUGGGAACCUGCCCUUAGGUUCGGAAUAACUCCCCGAAAGGGGUGCUAAUACCGGAUAAUGUCUUCGGACCAAAGAUUUAUCGCCUUGGAUGGGCCCGCGUUGGAUUAGCUAGUUGGUAGGGUAAAAGCCUACCAAGGCGACGAUCCAUAGCUGGUCUGAGAGGAUGAUCAGCCACACUGGGACUGAGACACGGCCCAGACUCCUACGGGAGGCAGCAGUGGGGAAUAUUGGACAAUGGGCGAAAGCCUGAUCCAGCAAUGCCGCGUGAGUGAUGAAGGCCUUAGGGUUGUAAAGCUCUUUUACCCGGGAUGAUAAUGACAGUACCGGGAGAAUAAGCUCCGGCUAACUCCGUA